GACUCGGUAGUUAAAUAAUAAUGACAAAUUGCAAAUUUGUAGUUACAUUCUUGUCUGAGUCU
rnacentral:tRNA from 1 species